CCGCCGGCGACCGGCGGACGGGUGCGUAACGCGUAUGUAACCUACCUUUGACAGGGGGAUAACAUCGAGAAAUUGGUACUAAUACCCCAUAACAUCACCGGAGGCAUCUUCGGUGGUUGAAAACUCAGGUGGUCAGAGAUGGACAUGCGUUGUAUUAGCUAGUUGGUGAGGUAACGGCUCACCAAGGCGACGAUACAUAGGGGGACUGAGAGGUCAACCCCCCACAUUGGUACUGAGACACGGACCAAACUCCUACGGAAGGCAGCAG
rnacentral:rRNA from 1 species